UACUAACUCUAUUGAAUAAUUUCAUGUCAAUGGGAGACUCUCGAAUUUUCGAAUGGAAUGUCCUAACUUGAGACACUUCGCUCGUGAUCUUCAUUGAAUAAAAUAUCUAAUAGCUCCACCACAUGAUAAUCUGACAACCUAGUAUCAUGUCAAUGGGAGACUCUCGAAUUUUCGAAUGGAAUGUCCUAACUUGAGACACUUCGCUCGUGAUCUUCAUUGAAUAAAAUAUCUAAUAGCUCCACCACAUGAUAAUCUGACAACCUAGUUUUU
rnacentral:lncRNA from 1 species